UUUUUUCAAGGUCUAUGUACAGACAUGGAGCACUCAGAAUCUUUCUAUGACCAUUACACGAGAUGAGUAUCCGUCCCACCCUAUGGUGCUCCGAGGUAUUAAUCAGAAGGCUGCCUUUCCACAGUACCAGCCCGUCGUCAUGCUGGAGAAGGGAUAUACCAUCCACUGGAAUGGGCUGGCACCACGGACUACAUUUCUAUACCUUGUCAACUUCAACAAGAAUGAUUGGAUUCGAGUUGGCCUUUGCUAUCCAUCAAACACAAGUUUUCAAGUUACCUUUGGCUAUUUGCAGCGGCAGAAUGGUUCAUUAUCCAAAAUCGAAGAAUAUGAGCCUGUGCAUUCACUGGAAGAACUGCAAAGAAAGCAAUCCGAGAGGAAAUUCUAUUUUGACUCCAGCACAGGGUUACUGUUUUUGUAUCUCAAAGCCAAAAGCCACAGGCAUGGCCACAGUUACUGUUCAUCUCAGGGAUGUGAAAGAGUCAAGAUCCAGGCAGCCACAGACUCAAAGGACAUCAGUAACUGCAUGGCCAAAGCAUACCCACAGUACUACAGAAAGCCAUCAGUGGUCAAGCGGAUGCCGGCCAUGCUCACUGGACUCUGUCAAGGCUGUGGCACUCGGCAGGUAAACAAGGAUGAAAAGUGGUCUGUGGCCAAGGAGAAAAAGUCAGAGGGUUUCUUUGCAAUAGGAGCACUUUUCUUUGAAACAUCUAUAUUGCCCAUUUAUGGACAUUGCAUGGCAUCUCCUGAAUUUUGGCCCAUGCUAAAACGUGAAGCACGUA
rnacentral:sRNA from 1 species